AGCACUCAGUGAGUUACGGGCUGCGUACCCGUGCGGAUCGGUGUUUUUUGUGUGCGUGUGUGUGUGUGUUCAUGCACGUGUACAAUCGCUGAGAACACAUUGCGCAUACUGACACACACACACACACACAUAUGUGUACGUGUUUCUCGUUCGAACACGAUAUAUUCGCUCAACUUAAGAGACACGUAUUCACGUCGAAUUGAAUUCUGUGUCGCUAUCGCUGCUGCUGCUGCUGCUGCUGCUGUUCUCGACCCGUUAUUAUCCUCGAUCAAAGAUCGCGUAUAACAGUGCAUUAAUGUACUCUGCAGACACGACAAUGUAAUUUUAAUACUCGCCGUACGAAGAAUGCGACGUUUUAUUAUUCGCGUUGUAUUCGAACUUGUACGUCAACGAAACAGGCAAUUUUGCCACGAAUAAAACGCCACCAAAUUACUUUAUUAACGGUCGUUUCGACGUUGAAGAAUAAAGAUAGAUAAAAACGUAAAGAAGUUGGAAAAAACGGAGAAACUCGCGGUGAUAUUCGAGUCUGUUUACGUUACACGAUGGUGAGUGUGCGCGGUUGUUUAUAUUCUUCGAGUUUGUGAUACCAUCUUUACACCAGCGCAACAAAGUAGCUCGAAAGAAGACUCCGGUCAAUAAUAAAAACGUGCGUGUGUGGUGCUUCUCUCUGUUUUUUCCCUUUAUUUUUCUUCUGCAGUAGACCGAACGAGUGAACAAGAAAUAGAUACUGCGAGAGAGCGAGUGACGGCGAAGGAGAACUCGAGAUAGAGCACGCCUCGGCAGAGAUUCGUAGAUUGGCUGCGAUGCUGUUUGCACUGAUCAAGUGGUAGGAGAAACCAAGAAAAAAAGAAAGAGCGAGAGAGAACGGAAUAGCAGGAAGAGGAGAACGAAAGAUCGCGCUCUGUGUAUUGCGUUCUCGCAAGAGCAACUGCGAGGUCGCGUGUGUGUCGGGUGUGCAAGCGCAGCGAGAACGACUCUUUCGCCGGGCCACGUUGCUUUCCCUCCUUUGGCGCCAGUUUUCUUUUUAUUUAUUUCUUCUUUUUCUCCCUCUUCCCUCCUCUCCCUCGUUCGGCUGCAUCGUAUCAUGUUACAUUGAGCCGCUAUUACUACACACUUUGUUACGAAGAUGGAACAUAGAAAGACUCUGAGUGAUGCACGAUAGCAGGCUUUCGUGAGCCGUUUUACUAUUCACGCUGAUUGUGAGACCUUUUUUCUUCACGUCACACACGACGGACGAACUGUCAGUUGGCCGCGUGUGCGUUCGGUUUUUUCCUCGCCCCGAUACAUAACACAUGCUGCUGGAGGUUAGGAACUGCCGCUAUAUCAACGCUCUUCUUUUCAACAGGAAGAUUAUGUCAUCGCGGUCCGAAUACUUUGACGGAUGAUCAAGAGGCUUGAUGCCAAGAAGCGAUCGAUUUCUGUGAAUUUCUCUUCGAUCGAUCGUCUGUGACUGGUAUUCCGUUUCUUUCUGCGCAUACUCAUUGGUCCCAACUCUUCUUAACUCCGAUUUCGAAGUGCGUGGGUGCGUUGGAAUGGAAGUGUGUCAUUUGUCUUGAAAAAAACGAACGUUCAAGAAUGGUUUCAAGAAUGAGUCGCGACAGCGAAGUGAGCUCGGUCCGUUCAAACGAAUCCAAGGCGACGAACGGGACUGGAAAUUCCGCACUGACGCCUCGUGCAGCGCCGAAUUGUGCGCGUUGCCGUAAUCAUCGUAUUAAAAUAGCUUUAAAAGACCAUAAAAGAUACUGCAGAUAUCGAAAUUGUGUUUGUGAAAAGUGCAAGUUGACCAAGGAUCGCCAAAGGGUCAUGGCAUUGCAGGUGCGACUCCGACGGGCCCAGGAUCAAGACGCCGCGAGAGUAAGGAGGCCCGAGGAGCAGGUGGAGCCUCGACCGGUUGAACUCGACGCCGAUCGAUUGGUCUCAGUGUCACAACCUGCUCUAAGUCUCGAGGGUAGUCGUGGCGGUAGUAACAGCCAAUCUCCUAUCAGUAAUCACGGGAGUAUUGGUGCUCACAGUGGCAUAGGUAGCACUGGUUUCGUUAGUGUGUCAUCCAGCCGAAAAUUACCGCCUCCUAUGCAACCGCACUCACCUGCCAGCCAAGGACAUCACAUACCGUUACCUCAGAGCAGCGAAAACGUCGAAAUACUACUGAAAUAUAGUACAGAAUUACUCGAGAGAUUUCUUCGGUAUUCGUGGGAAAUGUUGCCCCUGAUGUACGUCAUCCUCAAAGAUUGCGGGGCCGAUUUAGAGGAAGCUACGAGACGCAUUGCUGCAGCAAACCACGAGAUUCGAACAAUGGCGUUCUGGAAGGCAACGCGGAUGCUACAAUAUGGAGGAUAUUGGCACGAGAGUUAUGUACCAAACGCCACGAACGGUGCACCUACAUAUCUGGAAACAACACCAUACAUCUGGCCCCCACCACCGCCCACAGCCUCGCAUCUCGGACCACUUCCGCAUCCGCUCAAUAAUACCCAUAUGCUGGCAACGAGAAUACCCUCGAGUCCAGACAGUCCUCCAGAACGUCCCACCACGUAGCCCUGUUAAUAAGAGAAAAAUGGUGCUCACUCGGGACGACGAUCGAGAGAGAGAGAGCGGUACGUCUCAGGCAAACGCGAUAGCGGCAGAGUGGCAGAAAAUAAACGAAGAGAGGGCAAGAUUGGAGCAAAUUAAAGCAAGUCUCGAAGCGCAGAAAAAACGACAACAACAAACGACGUGCGUCGUAAAUGGAGAGCAAAAUUCCGAGGACGCACGAAAUGUCACGGAGGACCUCACCACGAUCAUCAAUUUGGGACCGGUUCGAAGUGAUUGCGAACGUGACGCGAAACUACGAUUCCAAAGAAGUCAAUUGCCUGGUCGUGACCCCGCAGAUAACAAUCGGCGAGAUCGAUGAUUCCGUAGUGACAGGUUCGACGAGAACGCGUUGAUGCCCUCCGUACGUUGCUGUUAGCGUUGCAGCCGAGUCCAUACGAGGACGACUUGAAAAAUGUGGUGCAAAAGAGCUCAAAGGAUGAUUGUAAACAGUGAUAACAAAUUGUCGUGAUGUUUGUCGAGCAUACGGUACUCUUAAUCGUGCUAGCUCAGUCACUCAAUCUUCUUUUAUUCGAAAGGACGACGAAAACGUAUUUUGAUGCGGUGAACUUUAAAUCUAAGGCGAUUGAUAGCGUGAAUGAUGAAUUGUCCUUUCUGCAGCAGAGCGACCAUGCACUAUGGGCGAUAAAGAAGAGUCUCUCUUUCAAUGUUCUUAAACCAUUCGUACAUUUUUAUUGUUUCCUUCGUUGUUAUUUUGUGUAAUUCAUUCACAUUCGUCUUCUUGUUUCUCCUUUUAUUAUUAUUAUUUUUUAACUCAUAAAAUGAAGACGAUUGGCAAAAAAGAAAAAGGCUUGAAGAGUAUUUUCGGUCAUAGUGUAACUCUUAGUAUCGUCCUUGUGAUUGUUCAUGGCUAAGCCCCUGAUUUACGUACUUCACUGCGCAAAACUUUGCCGAAUCAAUCGAAAACGAUGUUUCCUUUCUUCUCCCUCCCAAGAAUCGCGAGGAAAUGAAAGAAAAAUAAAAAUAAGUAAAGAGGUUCGUCCACGGUCGAUGAAGCGUUGGAUCAUCAAGGUCAUUGAAAAUAUUUCCACGACUUUUAUCGACUCGUCGAACGGAAAAUUAAACUGGAAUCCUUCGACUUUGCUGAUCCAAUGUUCAGAGGACAAUUAUUCGCGCAAACAUACGCGUCUCAGUGUUCAUAAUGUGAUUAAUGCAAAUUUAUUGUUUAUGUUUUUCUUAUUUUGUAUUUCUUUCCUUUUUUUUUCUCUUAAUUUAAUGUGAUAUUAGGGAUGGAAGGCAAAUUUAAGGGUACCUGGUCAGGAGUCGCGAAAUAAACUUGUAUACACUUGCGUACCCACACACACACACACACACACACACACACACAUACGCAUAAACACAAGAAACACGUACACAAACUUACAUACAUACGUUAUUUGAAUAAAUAUAAAACGUGGACAAAAUAAAUAUCUCGGCGUUGAUCAAUCGAUUUUUUGUUUUUCGAUCUUCCGCAGGAUCAUCCUUCUCGGUCCAGCUACGCCUCCAUUUAUAAAAACCUUUGCUGUGUAACUUACUUAAUCCAACAUUGUAUCGGAGAGGACAACUCUCGAAAUAUUCACCUCGAGUGUACGACUCGUUUAAUCGAACUUUUGCUAUCGAAUGAAGUAGUUACUGUUUUUCACUCCAUCUUGUUGAUUUUUUCUCUGAUUUUUUCUCCUCAAUAAGCCUCGUUUCAAGCGUCAAGUAACGUCAGAAAUUCUUGUGUUGUCGGAACGAUUUUUACCUGUAAAAAGAUAAUGGUAUUUCGAAAGAUUUUUCCAGAUACAGAGAAUCAUUAACAAAGUUACCAUGAAUAAUUGGAGUUGUAUGUUUUAAGAAUUAUUGUUAAUUGAACUUUGAAUGGUUUGAUUUCUUUUGUUUCUCAAAAGUCUCAAUCGUCGCCAACUUACUCUUGGAAGAAGUAAUACGAUUUUUUUUGUAAUAGAUCCAUUUUAGAAUGAAAAUUAUUCACUACUUUAAAUCAGGUCGCAGAUCGUUUCACUGAGAACUAAUAAAAAAUCAAUUCUUCCCCAACUGCUAAUGUUUCAUCGCAUGUUUUGCGAAAACACUUGUGGCGAAAAAUCAUGCUCACGGACUUCUCUGUCUUUACAAAACAUGCAAUUUUCGAGUUUCAAUUCAAUGCGAUUUUAUAACUCGUUUCUGAGGUGCUAGAACUUGUACAUUUUUAUCCUUGUUUUGUUCUGUCUAUUAAAUUGCGAUUUUGCAAAAUUUGUGAAUCCAUUCGUUGAUGAUUCUAGUAAUUAAACAAUCAGCUGAUGUUAUUUUGCCAAAUUUGCGACUCGUCUAUUAUCACAUGGCCGCCAACCGUGUGUUGAAUUUUCUCGCGUUGACUAAAUUUACGUGAAAAACGACUGGAUCUAAAUUCUUUUUCUCCACUGAUGAAUCUGAGUGGGAAAUUCAACCGCUAAAACGUAAGUCAUGUGAGCUCAUCAGUUUGUAACUUCAGCCUGGCUAUAUUGAAAAGAAACUUUUGUAUCCAGUUUUUCUACGUAAAAAACUGACGUUGCUUAUCAAUUUUUUAAACAUUCUCCAGCCUCAUGGUCAAGUUUCACUUUUUCUUUUGAUCUCGUCAACAUUUCUCGAGCAUUGCCGAAUCCGUAGAUUCAACGUAUGAAAAAUACUAAUGCGUACAAUCACCAUAUUUGCAACACAAAACAGUAGCGAGGCAAGAAAGGAGCAAGAAAAAAGUUUAACUCGAAUAGGAUCGUGAUGUUUAAUCGAUCCAUUAGAACAAACGGACUGGGAACACAAAAGUAAACAUUUGACGUGACACCGGAAAAGCUUUGGAUAAAGAGGAGACUCGUAAGAAGCUUUUGCAAAUGAACGAAUAAUUUCUGUACCAUUUGAACAAAUGAUUUGAACUUCAUUACAAUUGAAAGCAAAGUCAUCCCCAAUCGAAAUUUCCAAAAUCAAUGAACAAUAGGGAUUCUGCUAGUGUAGUCGUGGUUGCAGGCACCGAGAGAAAAGAGUAUCGACGUUUCUUAAAAAUCGUUUUAUCUCUUGGACCCAGUCCGUUAUUCCCAUAAAUAAAGAUGACCCAUAAAGAGUAAAAUCGCACGAAAUAAGAGCAAACUCAAUGCCUAAAGUCAGUUUCGUCCAUAGGCCACCUCAUCAACAGACAAAAAUGAAUUUGCAUAUAGUCAAAAAUGCGUUCACAGUUCAAAUACGAGGACACGAGUAAUCUGUUAUUAUUUUAUUUUUUUUUGUCUGAAUAAAAAUCGCAAAGAGAGAAGAAUGGGAAAAUUAUUAAUAUGGGAUUUGUAGAUGAAUAAAUGCAAUGAAAAUAGCUCCAUAUGAUGGUCGGUCUUCGUGACUUGUCCCCUAAUUAUAUAAUAUUUAUAUCCACGUAUAAAAAGUUGGUUUUUUUUUAUACUCUCUUCGGUGAACUUGCCUCGUACUCGCGAGACAAAGUUAGACCGUCGUCAUUAUUUAUUGGAUCAUUUAUUAUUGCAAGUUACGUGUGUCCACGAACUCUUGUUAGACUUUUCACAAGAGAGCGGACAAAGAAUAUUCAAAAAAUCAUUUGACCCGAGCAUAUAUAUUGAUGGACGGAUGGUCGAAGAUCACAUUUCAAACGAAUGUCCAAAGUUAUUAUAUUCUUCGAAACAACAAGAAAAGAUAAAGAGAUAGAUAGAGGGUGUUGUAUUCCUCCUUGACAAACGCACGAAUCGUUAAUUGUGGAUUCUGUGUAUUUGGCUCAUUCUACUUGUUAAAUUAUACCAUACGAAUAAGAAUUAAAUUGAAAAUCAUUGAA
rnacentral:misc_RNA from 1 species